rnacentral:tRNA from 1 species
GCCUCGUUGGCUCAGGGGCAGAGCGUCUGUCUCGUAAACAGAAGCCCGCUGGUUCGAUUCCAGCAUGAGGCA